GCGCGCGCAGGAGGCACGCGGGCCAAAGUCCUCAGAGGCGCUGCGGGCGGUGCCGAGACACCCGCGCGGCUGCAGGAGCCGCAGCUCGCACCCGCUGCAGCGCCCGCCGCAGUCAGCGCGCCCCGCGCCGCCUGCGUCCCCCACGCCCUGAGGGAGACCACCCACCCCUCGCCUGCUCCAGCGGUGCGCGCCAUGGCCCCGCGCAAGAAUGCCAAGGGCGGCGGCGGCAACAGCAGCAGCAGCAGCAGUUCCAGCAGCCCGAGCAGCUGCACCAGCGGCGGCAGCAGCAGCCCCGGGGCCCGGAAAGAGACAAAGCAUGGAGGACACAAGAAUGGGAGGAAAGGAGGACUUUCUGGAAGUUCGUUUUUCACGUGGUUUAUGGUCAUUGCAUUGCUCGGAGUCUGGACAUCGGUAGCUGUGGUCUGGUUUGAUCUUGUUGAUUACGAGGAAGUGCUGGCCAAAGCAAAGGACUUCCGUUAUAACUUAUCAGAGGUACUUCAAGGAAAACUGGGAAUCUAUGAUGCUGAUGGUGAUGGAGAUUUUGAUGUAGAUGAUGCCAAAGUUUUAUUAGAAGGACCUGGUGGGGUGGCCAAGAGGAAAACCAAGGCUAAAGGCUUUAAAGAAAGAUCUGCUCCAAAGCCAACAGUCCCACCAGAAGAGGCCGAGCCGUACCCUUGGCUGGAGGAUCAGGUCCUGGAGGGGCCAGGGCUUCCGAAUAUUGAGGAUGAAGUACAAGAACAAGUUCAGUCACUUCUUGAUGAAACGGUAUACGCAGAACAUGGAGAGGACCUACACCAAGAACAGGAUGGAGCAGCAGGAGAACUACAGCCCGAAGACGGUAUCUUUGCAGAAAGUGAUACAGAUGACAGAUACCAACCUGUGGGGACUGGAGCAGUGCAUGAAGUAACUGAAGAUAGCUACCAUGUAGAAGAGACAGCUUCACCAGCCUACAGUCAGGAUAUGGAAGACAUGAUAUAUGAACAGGAAAAUCCAGAUUCCAGUGAACCAGUGGUAGAUGAUGCUGGAAGAAUGUAUCAACAAGCAGAUGACAUCACCUACCAAGAGUAUGAUGAGCAAGCGUUUGAGCCAUCGGAAAAUGAAGGGACAGAAAAUUCAGAUAAUGCUGUAGAUGACUCAAACACAAUUUUAGAAGAGGUGCACGUGCCCCAUGCGGAGGAACAGCGAGAAGUACCACCAGAAACAAAUAAGAAAACAGAUGAUCCAGAAAAAAAAGAAAAAGUGAAGAAAAAGAAGCCUAAACUAUUAAAUAAAUUUGAUAAGACUAUUAAAGCUGAACUCGAUGCUGCAGAGAAACUCCGUAAACGGGGAAAAAUUGAGGAAGCAGUGCAUGCGUUUGAAGAACUGGUUCAGAAGUACCCUCAGAGUCCAGGAGCGCGAUACGGGAAAGCAAAGUGUGAAGAUGAUUUGGCUGAGAAAAGGAGGAGCAAUGAGGUUCUGCGCAGGGCCAUCCAAACCUACCAAGAGGUGGCCAGCCUGCCUGACGUCCCCGCAGACCUGGUGAAGCUGAGCUUGAGGCGGCGGUCAGACAGACAGCAAUUUCUAGGUCACAUGAGGGGUUCCCUGCUCACUCUGCAGAAAUUAGUUCAACUAUUUCCUGAUGAUACUUCCUUAAAGAAUGACCUUGGAGUGGGGUACCUCUUGAUAGGAGAUAAUGAUAGUGCCAAGAAGGUUUAUGAAGAGGUUCUGAAUGUGACACCUGAUGACGGUUUUGCUAAAGUGCAUUAUGGCUUUAUUCUGAAGGCACAGAACAAGAUCGCUGAGAGCAUCCCCUAUCUAAAGGAAGGAAUAGAAUCUGGGGAUCCUGGCACUGAUGAUGGGCGAUUUUAUUUCCACCUGGGGGAUGCCAUGCAAAGAGUUGGAAACAAAGAGGCAUAUAAGUGGUACGAGCUUGGGCACCAGAGGGGCCACUUUGCAUCUGUGUGGCAGCGCUCACUCUACAACGUUCAUGGACUGAAAGCCCAGCCGUGGUGGACCCCCAAGGAAACGGGCUACACGGAAUUAGUGAAGUCCUUAGAAAGAAACUGGAAGUUAAUCCGAGAUGAAGGCCUUGCAGUGAUGGAUAGAGCCCAGGGCCUGUUUCUGCCUGAAGAUGAGAACCUGAGGGAAAAGGGUGACUGGAGCCAGUUUACACUGUGGCAGCAAGGAAGGAAAAAUGAAAAUGCCUGUAAAGGAGCUCGUAAAACCUGUUCUUUACUAGAUAAAUUCCCCGAGACGACAGGAUGCCGAAGAGGACAGAUCAAAUAUUCCGUCAUGCACCCGGGAACCCACGUGUGGCCGCACACGGGACCCACGAACUGCAGGCUCCGAAUGCACCUGGGCUUGGUGAUUCCCAAGGAAGGCUGCAGGAUCCGGUGUGCCAACGAGACCAAAACUCUGAUGCCCUAGAAGAUGGGGGAGCCCCAGAAUGCAAGGAGCCCCAGCCUAUGAGCCACUUGCUGGAGGAGAGAUCCGUGCUUAGUGGAGCUGCCUACCAAGGACAGCAGGUCACUGCUCUCAGCCUGCUAACGACACCCAAGUAGAUCUACAGCAGUCAUGUUUCAGCCCAAGAGUGACUGAAGUACAGGCAGUGUCUCUCAUUGAGAUGAAUAGCACCAGGAUCCCAGAAGCCCAAGAUGAAAGACUGCUUGGAGACAGAAGCCCAGCUUUCCAGCUGUCACAACUGAACCCAAUUCACAGCUGACCCUACAGCUGAUGCAGGCAUAUCUCCUGCUGGGACUGUUUGGGAUGACCCCUCAGAAGACAAAAAAGGAGUAAACAAAAAAGAAGAGAAAGAUGCUGAUGUCAAAGACAAGUUCAGCAGAUGUGCUGUCACUGACAUGAUGCCAUCCUCUGAUCUCAAAACAAAGAACAAAAUCCCUCUGAAUUCUCACCAGACGUGCCUGUGAACCUGUACAGCUGAUGGGUGAGUACUAUCUUCCUGGACAGUCGAGCAGCAUCCUACGACAUGCUUUAAAAACGCAAGGCAGUGAGAACCGCUGUCAAAAGGUGAAAGAAAAGAGAAGCAGCAGUGAUUAGACACAACAAGAGAGCAUCCCUUGUCUGAAAAAUGUGAACUGUGGCAUCCUCCCUUUCGCCAGGGCUUUCUGUCUCUCUGGAUUGGUGCAGUGGACAAGGACGUUGUGCAGAGACGUCUCCUGAACCCCAACCUGGCCCCAAACUAUAUCCUUUCUACUCUCCUCUUUUAGUUUAUUUAUAAUUCCUCUGAAAUUAACUUUAUUACUCAAGGGAUAGUUAGCCUGUAUGGGAUUCUAAAACAGUACGGCUUAGCCAAUGCCUCACAACCUCUUUCACAUCAGCACACUCAGAACAAAUGACAGUAUUUGGACAACACAGCAAGGGAAAUGGAGGAGGCUGGCCAAGGGUCCCUGGGCCACCCCCUGGGAAGCAGUAUCUGAGCACACAUCACUUGGAAGCACUGACUUAGAUCAGGGAGCUCAAGCCACAGGUACUUGAUUCUUGUAGGACAGGAAAACAUGCAAGACUCACUUUUAUGAUAUUAUCAGGGCGCCAGCAUGUAGAUUCUGGGGUCCAAUACUUCCAUCCUAGAGCUACUGAAUCCAAAUUCAAGUAGUCGGGGAGAUCUGGGGAUCUGAAUUUAUGCAAGCUCCUCGUGUCGUCUUCAUGCGGGUUAAGGCUGCAAACCUCUGUGUUUGGUGUCUCCAUUCUCAUCACCCUUACUUCCUCCCCAGCAUCCCUUACUUCUCUCCCGCAUCCACUUCCUGGCUGGGGUGUUUCCUCUGGGGAGCUAGCACUUCCACAUUAAGAGAGUAGAAGACAGAAGAAAGAAAAAAGACUCAGUAGAACUAAACGCAGAACUUGGGUGCUCAGAGGCUGUCGGUACGUUUGAGCUGGACCAGAAAGGACCCCUCACUUUCCACACAAGACCCGAGGGCCCUGAAGAUCAGAACUCCCACCCCUCCCCCAGCUCUUAUUAACCAACAGCUUCACCAGAGGGGUAAAGAAAGAAAUGACGCAUCCCUGGCAUGGCGAAGUGGGAAGGAGAGAGGGGGUAAAAAUACUUCUUCCCACUCAGCUGGCGUAUGGGAAGAAGAGGCCCCGAGAACAGCUGCUUGCUGGCAAGCUAAAGGAAAAGGCAGAACGCGGUCUGGUUCCUUCCUUUGGACUGUGCGUUGGCUUUUUCACCUAAUAGUCAGAUUUGUUUACAGGCACGUGGGCUCUCAGAUGUCCCUGACCUUUCAGACGUUACAGACACAGCCCAGGGCGCCACAGUUAAUCUAAGGAAGCAAUUCUAAGCACUUUCCUAACUCUCUGGCUAUUCAUAGCCUUUAUAAAAGGCAGGGGUUGGACACCCUAAUAAGUAAGGUCUAGCACCUAAGUGCACAGAUAACGAUUAAAAACAGGGAUCUGCCGCCCCGGUUUAGCUGGGCGAGGGGGCAGGGGAGAGGUGCCAGUCACGCCUACAGCACAAGGAGGAGGAGAAAGCAGAAAAGGGGGCUCAAUCGUGUGCUCUGGGCAGAGACCACAUUCGUGUGAAGGGAGGGAUCAGGUGGGCGUAGAGUUACUGCAGGGCUGCACCUCGGCCACCCCGCCAAGGCGACGAUACAGCAGCCCCUCCUGUAAGCCUGGUGCUGCAGCUGGGGAGCUGGGGCCAGAGCACCCCCGCAUGCAGCGAUGCAGCACCGUGCCGACGGCUGCAGCCCGGGCUGCCUGCGGCACCGGCACCGGCCUGCUCACAUCUGCUGUUCACCGUCAACACCCGUGCAGCUGCGCACGGUGCCGAGUGCUCUCCGGAGCCCCGUGAGUGUGUGUUCACAAAGGCUAAGCUAGAAGAUGACUUUGAAUGCACAGGCGAUGUUUCCUGAGGCAGGCUACUGAAAUCUCUCUCCUCGGGAUGGCUAUGACCACAUGCUGCCUGCACUGUCUCGCUCUUCUGUUACCACAUCUCUGGUUUUGCCCUCAGCACCUCGGCUGCCGUUUCUGUCAAGUUUAACCCAGCCCCACCCAGGACUGCACAUGAUAACUGCUUUCCACCAAUGUUCCCAUCAAGGAAGAUACCACGACAGCGAUUCAUUCCUAGAGAGAAUUAUCUGUGCACUUAAGGGUUACCCGAUCUGCUGUGUUUUGGGGACUUCCAAUAUGCCAAGGUCAGGAACCCCUCUGAUGCUGUGAUUUAUACAGUAUAUGCUAGCCAAUGUGCUUUAGUGCCAUGAUUGCCAUAAAAUAGUCCCUCUGUGGGUGAUGCUACCUCUCAUGUGAGCGGUUUCGCCCAAAUGGAAAACCUACCUAGGAAAGACAGUUAGACUUUCCAGGUAUUUAAGCAAUAGUUAAAUUGGUAUUGUAUUUCAUUCUUAAAAUUGAAAAUGCAGUUUUCAUUUUCAGUGCACUCCGAAGUUAUUCACUAAUGAUAUGCUGCAGUUUUUAAGCAGAGAUGAUAUAUUAAAUCACUUUAUGAAUGAUUUUUUUAAACACAGACGUUGACUAAAAUGCUGUACAGUAAGUCCCCUACAUACGAACCUUCAAGUUGUAAACUUUCAAAGAUGCGACCGUGCAUUCCAUCACCAUCAGGCAUGAGUGAAAUUAAACCUCGCCCUCCGUCUGCUAUUGCUGAUGACCCUUCAGCUCUACCGUCUCCCACCUCCUCUCCCUCCCCCAGUCAGUAACUCUUCUUGCCUGUUCACUCGAUGCCAGCCCCUGUGUGCCAGCUGUUGUACUGUACUACUGUACUUUUCAAGGUACUAUACUGUAAGAUUAAAAAAUGUUUAUUUUUUGUUUGUUUUUUUAUGUAUUAUUUAUGUGAAAAGUAUUAUAAACCUAUUACAGUACAGUACUAUAUAGCCAAUUGUGUUAGUUGGCUACCUAGGCUAACUUUGUUGGACUUACGAACGAAUUGGACAAACCCCCUCUCGGAACCGAACUCACACGUAUGUAGGGGACUUACUGUAAAUAGUUUGGCUGUAGAAUUCUUGACUACGCCUGGCUUAGGGAUCUUUAAUAUGCAAUUUUUCAGACAUUGGAAGUUUUUAAAUGUUUUGUACCUGCUGCGCCCCAGAGUUAGGGACUCUGCAUUGCUCUCCUACUCUAGGUUUACACUAGAGCUUUGGCAUGUGUCAAAUGAAACCGAAGUUCGGCAUUGCUUUUCUUCAAAACAUUCUAUUGUGCAGAAUAAACUCUUACGGGAACAAGAAUGUUAAUUAUGUAAUAAUUUCACUAGACAAGCAAAGAGCAAUUCUAAUCUAAGUAAUGUCUCCUUAUACCUCCCUUUUAUGACAUAAACACAGUGGCGAUUUUGAAUGCACUUACCAAGGAUGUUCUCUAUGGUUUAGGUGAAAGCCAUUCAGCUGCUCCAGGCAAGGACAGCAGUAAGUAACAGCUGUGUCUGUGCUGGCGUCACGGGUAUAAUGCCUGGGUCACAGGGGUGAGAACUGAUUCUGCUGGGCUGGUGCUUCAUGGGAUGCUUCUGUCUCUUGGUGCCCACCCCUUCCCCGGGCCACCUUUGUUAAGUAUGAUUUGGCUCAAACCUGAUUCAAAGUGGUCCUCCUGGUGUGUACGCACUUGUUCAAUAAUAUGAGACAACAUUUUCUUCUCCUCUCCUUGCCAGGUGCAUGACACUGCUUUGGACUUUCUAGGAUGUAGGAGAAAAGAAAUCUUUUAAAAUAUAAAAUAAUCAAUUCUUUGGAAAACUGAGUUGGGCUGCGUUCUUGCUGAAUGUUCUUAUUGUUGACUACUCAAAUACCAAGAUUUUUUUUUUUGCAUUUGGUUAAUUAAAAAUUUGCAAAUUCACUUCUCUUUUCCUAACUUUAUUGAGGUAAAAUUGACAUGUAAAAUUAUAAGAUAGUUAAAGUGUACCAAUUCGAUAAUUAGAUAUACGUGUAUAUUGUGAAAGGAUUCCCCCAUUAAUUAACACACCCAUCACCUCACAUAUUUACCCCCCCUUUUUUAUUUUUGGUGAGAACAUCUAAGUUCUAGUCUCUUAGCAAAUUUCAUUCACACAGUACAGUGUUAUCAACUGUGGUCACCACAUUACCUGUUAUGUCCUCAGACUUUAUUCAUCUUAUAACUGAAAGAUUUUUACUCUUUACAGACCUCUCCCUAUUUUCCCCAACCUCAGCCCCUGGCAUCCACUUUUCAACUCCCUGCUUCUAUAGGUUUGACUGUUCUUUUCUUUUAGAUUCCACAAAUAAGUGAUGCCACUCCGUCUUUCUCUGUCUGGCUUAUUUCACUUAGCAUAAUGCCCUCCAGUUUCGCCAUGUUGCUGCGAAUGAUAGGAUUUCCUUCCCUUUUAAAGGCCGAAUAGUAUUCCAUUGUAUAUAUACAUACACAUUUUCUGGAUCCAUUCGUCCAUUGGUUGACAGACGUUUGGUUGUUUCCCUACCUCGGCUAUUUAAUGCUGCAAUGAAAAUGGGGGUAUAGCUAUCUCUUCAAGAUAAUGGUUUCAUUGCCUUUAGAUACCCAGAAGUGGACUUGCUGGAUCAUACGGUAGUUCUAUGUUUAAUUUUUUGAGGCACCUCAAAAAAUUGUUUUCCAUAUUGGCUGCACCAGUUUACAUUCCCACCAACAGUGUAGGAAGGGUCCCUUUCCUCCACAUCUUCACCAGCAAGUCUACUUCUUUUUUAAAAAAAUUUUUAUUGGGAUAGAGUUGAUUUACAAUGUCGUGUUAGAUUCAGGUGUACGGCAAAGUGAAUCAGUUAUACGCACACAUACAGCCACUCUUUUUUAGAUUCUUUAGAUUCUUUCCCAUAUAGGUCAUUCCAGAGUACUGAGUAGAGUUCUCUGUGCUAUACAGUAGGUCCUUAUUAGUUAUCUACUUCUUGUUCAUUGUUAAAUUCACUGUAAAUGAAGGCUUUUACAAUUAAAAUGAGAUUUGUUUCCAUCUAAAGAAAGAGGCAAGAGUGCCUGCAAAACUGAAACAUGGCCCGUGCGAGCAGAGCAGAGUGACAGGACUGGCUGGCUCGCCCAGAAAUUCUGCCCCUUGCUUUUCUUCAUGCCCUUAUUUCCUCCCAUCUGGCCUUUUCUCCUGUCCUUGGCUUUCUCAGAAAAAGUCGUCAUCAUCCUCAUCACCACCAUCACCAUCACCACUGACAACCACAGAUACAUAUUUAAUAAAAUAGCAAUGAAUAGCGAGUCUCCUCCAGAAGAGAAACAGAACACGUGAACACACAGUAAUUCAGGUUAGUAUGAGCCAGUAAGUGGCACACAAGCAUAUCUAUUUUCUAAAUUCCAGUCUCCCAGCCCUUUAAGUUGCUGAAAAAUACUCAGUAAGCACUCUUGGAACACGGGUACAAAUCUUACUGGGUUUGUAGCCUGCGACCUGCACUGGUGGGUACAAAAUCCACGCGCUUCAACUUUGUGAGCAGACAGGAGCGUUUCCAAAGUUAAUUCAAUUAGAGGACAGAAAAUUGAAAGCAUCCAAAACGAUUUCCCUAACCUCUUCAAGUAUGCUUGAGUAAUAUGUAAUUUAAGCACUUCUCGUCGUGAGUUAAAACAUAUUUAACACUUAUAAAAUCUUAAAAGUCAAGAUUUAAAAUGUGUGGCUUUGCUGAACAUACAUCAAAUUUACAGGCAUUGAAGGCCUGCCUGCCAUCAAUUAAUGAUGGCAAAACAGCUAAAGAUGUUUUAUCAGUAUCUGUUUGCUAAAAGGAAAAAUCUGUCUACUCAAUUAGCACAGACACAGAAAAUGAAAGUGAUGUUGCUAAUGCCUUUGUUGGAGUUAUCCCUACAAUCUGGGUUUUGUUUAAAUCAAAUAGUAUGCUGUAAUCAAUUUUAGCCCAUUUUAAAAUGCAUGUGUUAUGAUCAAUCAAAACCUUUUUUUUUUUUUUUUUUGUGGUACGCAGGCCUCUCACUGUUGCAGCCUCUCCCAUUGCGGAGCACAGGCUCCAGACAUGCAGGCUCAGCGGCCAUGGCUCACGGGCCCAGCCGCUCCGUGGCAUAUGGGAUCUUCCCGGACCGGGACACGAACCCAUGUCCCCUGCAUCAGCAGGCAGACUCUCAACCACUGCGCCACCAGGGAAGCCCUCAAAACCAUUUUUAGUGCUAUUUCAGGAAAGAAAAUAAUUCUGAACAUCAGAGAAAUUUUUUUAUUGGCACCAGAAGCAUCACCUCGAACGCAUACGAUGUAGGACCUAAAGCUCUUAUAAAAUUAUAUUUCCUGGGAGUGCCAUGGUGGCCUAGUGGUUAGGAUUCCCGGCUUUCACUGCUGGGGCCCGGGUUCAAUCCCUGGUUGGGGAACUGAGCUCCUGCAAGUUGCACGGCCAAAAAAAAAAAAAACCUUAUAUUUCCAAUUAGGAAAUCAAUAACCAUAACACAUAAGUAGUUAAGUUGAUCUUGGUCUGAAACUUGCCUUCUUCAAUUCACUUAGAAGCCCUGUAUGUCAUGAGAAGGCUCUAGUGAUUUAUUUUGUCAAAAUGACCUGAAAUCAUCUCCUUCACUAACACCACUUCACAGAUUUAAUAAGCAAAAUGCAUAAAAACCACAAUCAGUGACAAUGGUCAGAACAGAGUUAACUUGUGCUAGUAAUUUACUAUUUGAUUCCUAUAUAGAGUAGGUCAGUUUUAAAAGUAAUAUUUUAAAAUAGUGUAUGUUCCACUGACAUGAGGUACUAGACAAAUUCAUAGAGACAGAAAGUAGAAUGGUGGUUAGCAGGGGCUGGGGGCAGGGUAAAUGGCGAGGUUUUGUUUUACGAGUAUAGUUUCAGUUCAGGGUGAUCAACAGUUCUGGAGAUGGAUGGUGGUGAUAGUUGUAUAACAAUGUGAAUGUAUUUAACACCAUAGAGCUGUACGCUUAAAAAUGGUUAAAACUGUAAAUUUUGUUAUGUAUGUUUUACCACAAUAAAAAAUAAAACUAAAAAAUUCA